rnacentral:tRNA from 1 species
UCCCCAGUAGCUCAGACAGUAAAGCGUCCGCCUGCAAUGUAGGGGACCUAGGUUCGAUGCCUGGGUGGGGAA